rnacentral:rRNA from 1 species
UCUCUGUUUUACAGCGAAUUGUAAUCUUGCGUAGUCAUGCUCACCGGGAUACGGCGCACAAGUGACUUCGAACAGUCCGCCAAAGAGGGUGACAGCCCCGUACUGUGCCUUAUCCUAACGAGCAGGCUUACUAAGAGUCGGGUUGUUUGGUAUUGCAGCCCUAAGCGGGAGAUAAACUUCUUCUAAGGCUAAAUAUGUGGGAAACCGAUAGCGAACAAGUACUGUGAAGGAAAGAUGAAAAGCACUUUGGAAAGAGAGUCAAAAGACCUGAAACCGUUGAGGAGGAAGCGGUAGAGAUGAAUUCUAUGCUGAUUUGCUGGGAAAUAGAUCCAAUCUUUUUGGAGUUCGUGAUUUUCAACCUCACUGCUUUAAACUAGAGGAAAUCUAUUACUUGCAAUUCAGUAUGAGGCCGGAUGGGAUUAGAUAGUUGCAAAACACUUUUAGGGCUGCCUUCCUUCGGGAAGUACCCUAUUUGUCCUACAAAUAUCUAGUCUGAGGUGCCUUGUGCGAUCCGGUCAAAAUGGUCUUUACCGACUCGUCUUGAAACACGAACCAAGGAGUCUA